rnacentral:siRNA from 1 species
AGGGCCGAUUGGUAACGACUGUUA